rnacentral:rRNA from 1 species
GACGAACGCUGGCGGCGUGCUUCAUACAUGCAAGUCGAACGAGAAGCUGACUUCGGUCAGUGGAAAGUGGCGGACGGGUGAGUAAUAUGUAGGAAAUCUGCCUUUAGGAGGGGGACAACAGAGGGAAACUUCUGCUAAUACCCCAUAUGAGCGUAGCUGAAAUGCUAUUCUUGAAAACUCCGGUGCCUAAAGAUGAGCCUGCAUCUGAUUAGCUAGUUGGUAGUGUAAUGGACUACCAAGGCGACGAUCAGUAGCUGGUUUGAGAGGAUGAUCAGCCACAAUGGGACUGAGACACGGCCCAUACUCCUACGGGAGGCAGCAGUAGGGAAUUUUGCGCAAUGGGCGAAAGCCUGACGCAGCGACGCCGCGUGAACGAUUAAGCCCUUCGGGGUGUAAAGUUCUGUCAGUGGGGACGAAACUUGACGGUACCCACAGAGGAAGCACCGGCUAACUCCGUG